CCUCGAACAGAGGAGUGAAAUAGUCCCUGAAACCGUCUGCCUACAAGCGGUCGGAGCAAUCUUUUGGUUGUGACGGCGUGCCUUUUGCAUAAUGAACCUACGAGUUACUUUCUCCGGCAAGGUUAAGGACUUCAGGUCCGGAGCCGAAGCGAAAGCGAGUCUUAAAAGGGCGUCAUAGUCGGAGUGAGUAGACGCGAAACCAAGUGAUCUACCCUUGGUCAGGAUGAAGGUUGGGUAACACCAACUGGAGGUCCGAAUGGGUAUACGUUGAAAAGUGUUCCAAUGAACUGAGGGUAGGGGUGAAAGGCUAAUCAAACUUGGAGAUAGCUCGUACUCCCCGAAAUGCAUUUAGGUGCAGCCUUUAUAUAGUAUAUAAUGAGGUAGAGCGACUGAUUGGAUGCGAGGGCUUCACCGCCUAUCAAGUCCAGAUAAACUCCGAAUGCGUUAUAUAUAUUUAUAAGGAGUGAGGGCGCGGGUGCUAAGGUCCGCGUCCGAGAGGAGAAGAAUCCAGACCAUCAGCUAAGGUCCCCAAAUAACAGUUAAGUUGAACUAACGAAGUCAGACUGCAGAGACAGCUAGGAUGUUGGCUUGGAAGCAGCCAUUCAUUUAAAGAGUGCGUAACAGCUCACUAGUCGAGGAGUCUGGCGUGGAUAAUAAUCGGGUAUUAAGUUGUCUACCGAAGCAGUGGGAUCAUUGAAAUGAUCGGUAGGGGAGCAUUCCAGUCAGCGUCGAAGGCGUACCGCGAGGUAUUCUGGAGCGUCUGGAAAAGCAAAUGUAGGUAUAAGUAACGAUAAAGGAGGUGAGAAACCUCCUCGCCGAAAGACUAAGGUUUCCUGAUCAACGUUAAUCGGAUCAGGGUAAGUCGGGACCUAAGGAUAAGCCGAACGGCGAUUCCGAUGGAAGAAUGGUUUAAUAUUCCCAUACUACUUUAUGGAGCGAUGUGGAGACGGAGAAGUGACAGUCCUGCCAUCUGACGGAAUAGAUGGUUAAAGGGUGUAGAUGUAGAUCGAAGUAGGCAAAUCCGCUUUGAGAGUCGAACCUGACAGUAUGCCGCGUACUUGUACAAGGCAAUAUGGACGUAAUCAGGCUCCCUAGAAAAUCCGCUAAGCAAAUUCAUAAAGUACCCGUACCGUAAACGGACACACGUAGUUGGGUUGAAAAUACUGAGGCGCUCGAGUGAUUCACGGUUAAGGAACUAGGCAAAUUGACCCUGUAACUUCGGGAUAAAGGGUCCCUGCAGAGAUGUGGGGCGCAGAGAAUAGGUCCAGGCAACUGUUUAACAAAAACACAUGGCUGUGCGAAAUAGAAAUAUGAAGUAUACAGCCUGACACCUGCCCGGUGCUGGAAGGUUAAGAGGAGAGCUUAUCGCAAGAGAAGGUUUGAAUUGAAGCCCCAGUAAACGGCGGCCGUAACUAUAACGGUCCUAAGGUAGCGAAAUUCCUUGUCGGGUAAGUUC
rnacentral:rRNA from 1 species